rnacentral:tRNA from 1 species
GUCUCUGUGGCCUAAUGGAUAAGGCACUAGCUUCCUAAGCCGGGGAUUGCGGGUUCUAGUCCCGCCAGAGGUA